CCUACGGGGGGCAGCAGUGGGGAAUAUUGGGCAAUGGACGCAAGUCUGACCCAGCAACGCCGCGUGAAGGCCGAAGGCUUUCGGGUUGUACACUUCUUUUAAGGGGGAAGAGCAGAAGACGGUACCUGCCCAAGAAGCCCCGGCUAACUACGUGCCAGCAGCCACGGUAAGACGUAGGGGGCAAGCGUUAUCCGGAUGUACUGGGGGUAAAGGUGGCGCAGACGGCAAUGCAAGCCAGGAGUGAAAGCCCGGGGCCCAACCCCGGGACUGCUCUUGGAACUGCAUGGCUGGAGUACAGGAGGGGCAGGCGGAAUUCCUAGUGUAGCGGUGAAAUGCGUAGAUAUUAGGAGGAACACCGGUGGCGAAGGCGGCCUGCUGGACUGUGACUGACGUUGAGGCCCGAAGGCGUGGGGAGCAAACAGGAUUAGAUACCCGGGUAGUC
rnacentral:rRNA from 1 species